rnacentral:rRNA from 1 species
AACGAACGCUGGCGGCAGGCCUAACACAUGCAAGUCGAACGAGUAAGAGCCGUAGCAAUACGGAGUUCUGCUAGUGGCGCACGGGUGAGUAACGCGUGGGAACGUGCCUUGGAGUUCGGGAUAACAGUUGGAAACGACUGCUAAUACCGAAUAUUCCCUCAGGGGGAAAGAUUUAUCGCUCCAAGAUCGGCCCGCGUAAGAUUGGGUAGUUGGUGGGGUAAUGGCCUACCAAGCCUACGAUCUUUAGCUGGUCUGAGAGGACGACCAGCCACACUGGAACUGAGACACGGUCCAGACUCCUACGGGAGGCAGCAGUGGGGAAUAUUGGACAAUGGGCGAAAGGCCUGAUCCAGCCAUGCCGCGUGAAUGAU